rnacentral:lncRNA from 1 species
GGGGGGGGGGGGGGGGGGGGGGGGGGGGGGGGGGGGGGGGGGGGGGGGGGGGGGGGGGCCAGGCUGUCCCCAACCCACCCGGUGUCCCCAAACUGUCCCCAACCCACCCCAACCUUCCCCAGUUGUGCCCAACCAGCCCCGAACUGUCCCCAAGUGUCCCCAAGUGUCCUGAGCUGUCCCAAGUGUCCCCAAACUGUCCCCAAGUGUCCCUGACCCGCCCCAGUGUCCCCAAAGUGUCCCCAGUGUCCCCACCUGUCACCAGAGUGUCGCCAACUGUCCCCAGUGUCCCCAAGCCCCCCCGCAGUGUCCCCAGCUGUCCCCAGCCCUUCGCUGGGUCCCCAGUGUGUCCCCACGGUGCCACCUCAGCCCCACAGUGCCACAUGUCCCCACUGUGCCCCACCUGGCACCUGUCCUGUCACACCUGUCACCCCUGUGUCACACCUGUCACACCUGGGUGUCAGACCUGUCUCACCUGCGCAGGUGGAGCUGGCCACAAGGCAGUUCCCGUACCAGAACUGCUGUCACUGUCACACUUGUCUCACCUGUCUCACACCUGUGUCUCACGUGGCUCACCUGUGUCUCACCUGCGUGUGUCUCGCCUGUCUCACCUGUGCAGGUGGAGCUGGCCACGGGGCAGUUCCCGUUCCAGACCUGCUGUCCUUGUCCCUGUCACACCUGUGUCUCACCUGUCUCACCUGUCACACCUGUGUCUCACCUGUGUCACACCUGUUUCACACCUGUGUCACACCUGUGUCUCCCCUGUCACACCUGUGUGUGUCUUGCCUGUCUCACCUGUGCAGGUGGAGCUGGCCACAGAGCAGUUCCUGUACCAGAACUGCUGUCCCUGUCACAUCUGUGUCUCCCCUAUCACACCUGUGUGUGUCUUGCCUGUCUCACCUGCGCAGGUGGAGCUGGCCACGGGGCAGUUCGGGGACACACCUGGGACACUGGGGACACACCUGGGACACUGGGGACACACAGGGGACAGGGGGACACACCUGGGACAGGGGGACACACCUGGGACACUGGGGACACACCUGGGACACUGGGGACACACAGGGGACAGGGGGACACACCUGGGACAGGGGGACACACCUGGGACACUGGGGACACACCUGGGACACUGGGGACACACAGGGGACAGGGGGACACACCUGGGACAGGGGGACGCACCUGGGAUACUGGGGACACACAGGGGACAUGGGGGACACACCUGGGACAGGGGGACACACCUGGGACACUGGGGACACACCUGGGACACUGGGGACACACAGGGGACAGGGGGACACACCUGGGACAGGGGGACACACCUGGGACACUGGGGACACACCUGGGACACUGGGGACACACAGGGGACAGGGGGACACACCUGGGACAGGGGGACACACCUGGGACACUGGGGACACACCUGGGACACUGGGGACACACAGGGGACAGGGGGACACACCUGGGACAGGGGGACACACCUGGGACACUGGGGACACACCUGGGACACUGGGGACACACAGGGGACAGGGGGACACACCUGGGACAGGGGGACACACCUGGGACACUGGGGACACACCUGGGACACUGGGGACACACAGGGGACAGGGGGACACACCUGGGACAGGGGGACACACCUGGGACACUGGGGACACACCUGGGACACUGGGGACACACAGGGGACAGGGGGACACACCUGGGACAGGGGGACACACCUGGGACACUGGGGACACACCUGGGACACUGGGGACACACAGGGGACAGGGGGACACACCUGGGACAGGGGGACGCACCUGGGACACUGGGGACACACCUGGGACACUGGGGACACACAGGGGACAGGGGGACACACCUGGGACAGGGGGGACACACCUGGGACAUUGGGGACACACCUGGGACACUGGGGACACACAGGGGACAGGGGGACACACCUGGGACAGGGGGACGCACCUGGGAUACUGGGGACACACAGGGGACAUGGGGGACACACCUGGGACAGGGGGACACACCUGGGACACUGGGGACACACCUGGGACACUGGGGACACACAGGGGACAGGGGGACACACCUGGGACAGGGGGGACACACCUGGGACAUUGGGGACACACCUGGGACACUGGGGACACACAGGGGACAGGGGGACACACCUGGGACAGGGGGGACACACCUGGGACAUUGGGGACACACCUGGGACACUGGGGACACACAGGGGACAGGGGGACACACCUGGGACAGGGGGGACACACCUGGGACAUUGGGGACACACCUGGGACACUGGGGACACACAGGGGACAGGGGGACACACCUGGGACAGGGGGACACACCUGGGACACUGGGGACACACCUGGGACACUGGGGACACACAGGGGACAGGGGGACACACCUGGGACAGGGGGGACACACCUGGGACAUUGGGGACACACCUGGGACACUGGGGACACACAGGGGACAGGGGGACACACCUGGGACAGGGGGGACACACCUGGGACAUUGGGGACACACCUGGGUACUGGGGACACACAGGGGACAUGGGGGACACACCUGGGACAGGGGGACACACCUGGGACACUGGGGACACACAGGGGACAGGGGGACACACCUGGGACAGGGGGACACACCUGGGACAUUGGGGACACACCUGGGACACUGGGGACACACAGGGGACAGGGGGACACACGGGACAUUGGGGACACACUGAGGACAGGGGGACACACCUGGGACAUUUGGGACACACCUGGGACACUGGGGACAGGGGGGACAGGGGGACACUGGGGACACACAGGGGACAGUGGGGAUAUGGGGGACACACAGGGGACAUGGAGGAGCACUGGGGACAGUGGGGACACGCAGGGGACACGCAGGGGACACGCAGGGGACGUUGGGGACACGAGGACAUUGGGGACACUGGGGACAGGGCUGGGGUCCCGCAGGCGCUCACCCCCCAUCCCCUCCCCCAGCCUCACCAAGGACCACAGGAAGAGACCAAAGUACAACAAGUUACUGGAGCACACCUUCAUCAAGCGCUACGAGACGCUCGAGGUGGACGUGGCCACCUGGUUCAAGGACGUGAUGGCCCGGACAGAGUCCCCGCGCCCGGGGGGUGGCCUGGGCCACCACCUGCCCUUCUUCAGCAGGUAGCGCCAGCCCGGCGCCGCCACGCCCGGCGGGGACACCGGGGACAGGGACAGCGGGGACAGCCAGGACACGGGGACACCGCUGUGGCACCGGGGACAGCCAGGACACCGGGGACGUCCCUGUGACAGCGGGGACAGGGACAGCCAGGACACCGGGGACACACGACACCGGGGACAGGGACAGUGGGGACAGCCAGGACACGGGGACACCGCUGUGGCACCGGGGACAGCCAGGACACCGGGGACGUCCCUGUGACAGCGGGGACAGGGACAGCCAGGACACCGGGGACACACAGCUGGGACACCUCCGGGGACAGCCAGGACACUUCUGUGACACUGGGGACACCCCUGUG